UGGGGAAUAUUGCACAAUGGGCGCAAGCCUGAUGCAGCGACGCCGCGUGAGGGAUGACGGCCUUCGGGUUGUAAACCUCUUUCAAUAGGGACGAAGCGCAAGUGACGGUACCUAUAGAAGAAGGACCGGCCAACUACGUGCCAGCAGCCGCGGUAAUACGUAGGGUCCGAGCGUUGUCCGGAAUUACUGGGCGUAAAGAGCUCGUAGGUGGUUUGUCGCGUUGUUCGUGAAAAACUCACAGCUUAACUGUGGGCGUGCGGGCGAUACGGGCAGACUAGAGUACUGCAGGGGAGACUGGAAUUCCUGGUGUAGCGGUGGAAUGCGCAGAUAUCAGAAGGAACACCGGUGGCGAAGGCGGGUCUCUGGGCAGUAACUGACGCUGAGGAGCGAAAAGCGUGGGGAGCGAACAGGAUUAGAUACCCUGGUAGUCCACGCCGUAAAACGGUGGGUACUAGGUGUGGGUUUCCUUCCUUGGGAUCCGUGCCGUAGCUAACGCAUUAAGUACCCCGCCUGGGGAGUACGGCCGCAAAGGCUAAAAACUCAAAAUGAAUUGACGGGGGUCAUAGCUGUUUCCU
rnacentral:rRNA from 1 species